UUCCCUAACACACACACAUCCUGAAACUGACAAGAGAGGCGCAUGCGUGUGCCUCUCCCCUUGCACUGCCCGGAGGGACUAUUUGUGGAGUUCCUCGAUUCCUCAUCGCUGGACACAGCAGGGGGAGGUUUGGCAGCCUCCUUCCAGACGCACCUCGCCUUGUGACCGCCUCCUCGGGUGGUGUUCGACAGCCUGGUUCAAAUGCAGCCGACUUCAGAGUGCGAGCAGGAAGUGCUACCGGAACAUGGAGUGAGCUGGGAAGCGAGGGGCCCCCUCUGUUGCAUCCUUAGCUAGGCACAGACCAAUUGGGAUUGUUACUACAUUCGGGGUGCAGGAAGACCACAGUCAACUCCUGACAAACGGGAAGUCCUCCAGAGGCCUGAGCAUCAAGCACUCCUUCCUGAAUGAUCCCUUCCACCUCCUCUGACAUAUGCCAAGACCAGCAGCACCAUCAGCUCCCCAAAGGUCCAGAGAUUUGUGCGGCCACUACUACCUGGGAAGUUGGCCAAAGAAGGUUGAAGGGAGGGACAAAGGCCAGGACCAACGGCGCCAGCUUCAAGUAAAACUACACUGUGCACUGUGGAAAACAAGAACAGUAAGGCUCUUUGAAGAACCAUGUUCAAAAUCACUUAGCGGAGAGUUCUAUCCGUUUCAGCAACCCUUCAAGUUGGAGUCCAGCGACCCCUCUGGAAUGGGACUAUCGCAGAAGUCAGACACUUUUAGUACAACCCACCGAUUAAACAUACCGGAGUGAACAGGAGAGUGACCUAGGGGACGGAAAUAACAUACAAAAACAAAAAUAGCUGUAAAAACUCAGCAGGUCUGGCAGCAUCUCCAGAGAGGAAUACAGUUAAUGUUUUGAGUCCGUAUGACUGUUCGGCAGAAAUAUGGAAAUAUAGAAAU